CCUUUUACCGCUCGCAACGGCCUUCCUCCACCGCCGGGCGGUGCGGCCACGGCUCACAGCGCCACCAGCCAAAAAUCUGUGUGUCGCCUCCUCUAUCUCGCGUUGCCUCCUAUCCAUGUGCUUACCUAGCUCCCCCGGGCCAAACAUCGACACGCAUCUCCGGCCUCCCCGUGCCUAUCCGGCAAAGCAAUCAAAUUGAUUCAGCUAAGCCACACCCCCCUGUGAAGAAACGGACUGGUGACAGGCGCCAGGCGCCAGGCGCACUACCACAACCAGAUCUGGCUCUACCUUCUCCCCCCAGGCCUCCUCUCCGUGUUGAUUCAGUAGAGACCGAUUUGUCUUGCUAAUGCAACUUCUCAGCAGCGGGUCUAAGCCAAGAACUGCCCCUAGCACGCCUACCGUGGCUGAUACUAGCCGGCAACCAUUGUCCAUUGCCCUAGUGCAGCUCGGUUGCGCCUGAAUAUGCAGCUCGGUUGCUGCCCUCUCCUUUCUUAUGACUCACGCUGCUUGUGGAGGGAAGAGUGGCGGAGGAGGAGAGUGCUUACAGGUACAGGCACGCGGGCGUAUUGGUAUCGAGGCUGACCUCUAGCAGUCCAUUGGGAUGAGGCUCGUUGUGUGGAUCUGCAGUCCACCGUGAUGUUCACUGAGAGUGCUCAUACAUUUCAGAGUAUUGUUUUGUGCAGUUUGUCGGGGACGUUGGUGACUUACAGGCGCCCUACAUGCACCCGCUCCUCAUGCUGGUUCUGGCCUGGAUCCGUGGAUGACGGCGUGCUCGUUCUGGCCUGGAUCCGUGGCUGACGGGUGCGAGAAUCAUCCCAGCGCCAGCCCACGAAUGGUCAGCGCCGGAUCUGGGAACCACGCCAAACUUCAGCACCCAUGCCGCACUCCCCUUCCACAUCCGUCAGCGCGCAUAGGGGUCGGCUGGCUGGGGGUCGCCAUCCGGUUGUGGCUCGCCGACGGAUGUAGUUCGGUUGUCCUGUCUGCAUCUCUGCUUCCGACCAGGGCUCAUCGACGGAUGCAGUGCGGUAGGGCAGUACAUGUAGUUCGGUAGGUCCGUGGAUGCAGUGCGGCAGGGCAGUAGAUGUAGUUAGAGCAUCUCCAACAGACGCGCUACGAAGCCGCGCGCUAAAAAAAAUUUACCACGUCAAAAUAACGUUUUACAGUGCCGGAUGACCGAACAUCUUCAACAGAGGCUUAAAAAU
rnacentral:lncRNA from 1 species